AAACGACUCUCGGCAACGGAUAUCUCGGCUCUCGCAUCGAUGAAGAACGUAGCGAAAUGCGAUACUUGGUGUGAAUUGCAGAAUCCCGUGAACCAUCGAGUCUUUGAACGCAAGUUGCGCCCCAAGCCUUCUGGCCGAGGGCACGUCUGCCUGGGUGUCACAAAC
rnacentral:rRNA from 1 species